AGAAAAAUGAAGCCGACCCGGCCCUGCCCCGAGGGACGCUCCAAGAGGGCGGAGGUGCAGGGAGGGCCCCGCCACAAUUCGCGGUAACGCAAGCCAGGCUCGGGCGGAAGGGCGGCCGGAGCCGAUCAAAGGCUGGCUCCGGGCAGGGGCAGCGAGGGAGCGAGGGGGAGCUCUCCGCAGGCCGGUGUCCCGGAGGAGGAAUAAUUGGAGCAGGGCUUCCAAGGUCACGGAGAGACGCCGGGCAAGACCUCUUAAGGAUCCUCUUCCGGGCUUGAAAGACAGGCGUCCUCCCGAACCGCGCGACCCAGCCAAGAAGAGCCGGGGCGGGGCCGGGGCCGGGGCCGGGGGCCGACUCGGGAAUCUUCGGCCGAGGCUCGGCAAUCCCCCCAUCCUCCGUCCGGGGCCUCCAGCCCGGGGCCGAUCCGGAAACAGCCGAGCGGAUCCGGAAACAGCCGAGAGGACCCGGAAGCGGUGCGCUCCGUCACCAGGGAGUGCGGGAAUCCGCCGUUUGCGCUGAGGCAAUGGCGGCAGCUGCGCCGGUGGCCGCGGACGACGAUGAGCGGCGGCGGCGGCCGGGGGCUGCACUGGAGGACUCCCGGCCCCAGGAAGGGGCAAAUGGUGAGGCCGAGUCAGGUGAGCUCAGCCGGCUUCGGGCUGAGCUGGCAGGCGCCCUGGCAGAAAUGGAAACCAUGAAGGCUGUGGCAGAGGUGAGCGAGAGCACGAAGGCCGAGGCUGUGGCUGCGGUGCAGCGGCAGUGCCAAGAGGAGGUGGCCUCGCUGCAGGCCAUCCUGAAAGACUCCAUCAGCAGCUAUGAAGCCCAGAUCACCGCCCUGAAGCAGGAGCGACAGCAGCAGCAGCAGGACUGUGAGGAGAAGGAGCGGGAGCUGGGCCGCCUGAAGCAGCUGCUGUCCCGGGCCUACCCCCUGGACUCCCUGGAGAAGCAGAUGGAAAAGGCCCACGAGGACUCGGAGAAGCUGCGGGAGAUCGUACUGCCCAUGGAAAAGGAGAUCGAGGAGCUGAAGGCGAAGCUGCUGAGGGCCGAGGAGCUGAUUCAGGAGAUCCAGAGACGUCCCCGGCAUGCCCCUUCCCUGCACGGCUCCACGGAGUUGCUGCCCCUGUCCCGGGAUCCAUCGCCCCCGCUGGAGCCUCUGGAGGAGCUGAGCGGAGAUGGGGGUCCAGCCGCUGAGGCCUUCGCUCACAACUGCGAUGACAGCGCCUCCAUCUCCUCCUUCUCCCUUGGCGGUGGGGUCGGCAGCAGCUCCUCCCUGCCCCAAAGCCGCCAGGGCCUGAGCCCUGAACAGGAAGAGACGGCCUCGCUGGUGUCUACGGGCACCCUGGUUCCCGAGGGCAUCUACCUGCCCCCUCCUGGCUACCAGCUCGUCCCAGACACUCAGUGGGAGCAGCUGCAGACAGAGGGCCGACAGCUGCAGAAGGACCUGGAGAGCGUCAGUCGCGAGCGGGACGAGCUCCAAGAGGGCCUGAGACGGAGCAACGAGGACUGUGCCAAGCAGAUGCAGGUGCUCCUGGCCCAGGUCCAGAACUCAGAGCAGCUGCUGCGGACCCUGCAAGGGACCGUGAGCCAGGCCCAGGAGCGGGUGCAGCUGCAGAUGGUGAGUACCUGGGGGCCCCGGGGCAGGAGGGCGAGGAGUCCAGCAGGAAUCAGUUGCACGUGGUGGAAGGGGGCACGUGGGAAGUCAAGGAACCUGUCUUGUCCCCAGCUGCUCAGGCCACACCCUGGAACCGGUGCCAGGUAGGUAAGAGGGUUUUGGGGCAGCUGGUGCCGUGGCCAGAACAGGGCCCCUGCAGCCACACAGAGCUGUUUGAUCUUGAGCUAAUCCCAGACUCCCAGCCUCUGCCUCACCAUCUAUAAAACUGACAUAAUGGGCCCUAGUUUGCAGAGUCAUGAGGAUUAAAACCAAAUCUGACUGGGCAAGGUGACUCAUACCUGUAAUCCUAGCACUUUGGGAGGCCUAGGCGGUUGGAUCACCUGAGGUCAGGAGUUCAAGCCUGGCCAACACAGGGAAACCCCAUCUCUAUUAAGAAUACAAAAAUUAGCCGGGCAUUGUGGUGGGCACCUAUAAUCCCAGCUACUUGGCUGGGCAGGAUAAUCGCUUGAACCCGGGGGACAGAGGUUGUAGUGAGCCGAGAUCACGCCAUUGCACUUCAGCCUGGGUGAAAGCAAAACUGUCUCAAAGAAAAAAAAAAAAA
rnacentral:sRNA from 1 species